AGUAAAGUGACUGAUAAAAGUGAUAAACUGUAAAUUUAUAAAUGAAAUAAUUAAAUUUCCUUUACUA
rnacentral:tRNA from 1 species